UCUUAUGUAUGAGCAAAGUAAGUGGAUUCUUAAGAUAAACCUACUCCUGGUGAAGAUGCUGAGAA
rnacentral:pre_miRNA from 1 species